GAUGAAGAACGCAGCGAAAUGCGAUACGUAAUGUGAAUUGCAGAAUUCAGUGAAUCAUCGAGUCUUUGAACGCACAUUGCGCCCCCUGGUAUUCCGGGGGGCAUGCCUGUCCGAGCGUCAUUGCUGCCCUCAAGCACGGCUUGUGUGUUGGGCCUCCGUCCUCCUCCCGGGGGACGGGCCCGAAAGGCAGCGGCGGCACCGCGACCGGUCCUCGAGCGUAUGGGGCUUCGUCACCCGCUCUUGUAGGCCCGGCCGGCGCUUGCCGACACAUCAAUCUUUUUUCCAGGUUGACCUCGGAUCAGGUAGGGAUACCCGCUGAACUUAAGCAUAUCAAUAAGCGGAGGA
rnacentral:misc_RNA from 1 species